CGGAGGAACAGCCCCAGUGGCGGGGCCAGCUCUGCAGCCCUGGAGUCAGCCCCCGCAGUAGCUCCAGAGCUCUCCGUCUGCAGGGCCUGGAGGCUCCGGGGUGGG
rnacentral:pre_miRNA from 1 species